GGAGCCAUGGUGUUGGCCGAGACCUACGCGAUGGUAUCCUUCCUGCCCAACGGCGAUUGUGGCCGCCCCAGGGCACGGCCCGGAGGAAACAAGGUGACGGUGGUGCUCGGUGCGCAGUGGGGCUACGAAGGCAAAGGGAAGGUGGUGGAUCCACUGGUGCAGGACGCUGACAUCAUGUGCUGCUGCCAGGGAGGAAAUAAUGCUGGCCAUACAGUUGUUGUGGAUUUUGUGGAAUAUGAUUUUCAUCUCUUACCCAGUGGGAUAAUUAAUCCAAAUGUGGCUGCAUUCAUUGGAAAUGGUGUGGUAAUUCAUCUACCUGGAUUGUUUGAAGAAGCAGAGAAAAAUGUUCAAAAAGGAAAAGGACUAGAAGGCUGGGGAAAAAGGUUUAUCAUAUCUGACAGAGCUCAUACUGUAUUUGAUUUUCAUCAAGCAGCUGAUAGUAUCCAGGAACAACAGAGACAAGAACAAGCAGGAAAAAAUUUGGGUACAACAAAAAAGGGGAAUUGGGCCAGUUUAUUCUUCCAAAGCUCAGAGUGGACUCAGGAUGUGAGAUCUUGUUUCUGACUUUGAUGGCUUCUCGGAGAGGUUUAAAGUUCUAGCCAACAAAUACAAAUCUAUAUACCCCACUUUGGAAAUAGGCAUUGAAGGUGAAUUACAAAAACUCAAGGGUUAUAUGGAAAGGAUUAAGCCAAUGGUGAGAGAUGGAGUUUAUUUCCUAUACAAGGCCCUACAUGGACCACCAAAGAAACUCUUGGUAGAAGGUGCAAAUGCAGCACUAUUAGAUAGUGAUUUUGGGACUUACCCUUUUGUAACCUCUUCAAAUUGUACUGUUGGAGGUAUUUGUACUGGUUUGGGUAUGCCCCCUCAAAAGGUAGGAGAAGUUUAUGGAGUCGUGAAAACUUAUACAACUAGAGUUGGUAUUGGUGCCUUUCCUACAGAGCAAGACAAUGAAAUUGGAAAAUUAUUACACACAGGGGUAGAGAGUUGGCGUUAACUACUGGAAGGAAAAGAAGAUGUGGCUGGUUGGACCUCGUUUUGCUCAAAUAUGUUCAUAUGAUCAAUGGAUUUACUGCGUUGGCAGUUACCAAGUUGGAUAUUUCGGACAUGUUUAUGGAAAUCAAAGUUGGAGUUGCUUACAAGUUAGAUGGUGAUAUCAUACCUCAUAUCCCAGCAAACCAAGAAGUCUUAAAUAAAGUUGAAGUUCAGUAUAAGACUCUCCCAGGAUGGAACACAGACAUAUCAAAUGCAAGGAUGUUUAAAGAACUACCUGUUAAUGCACAAAACUAUGUUCGAUUUAUUGAAGAUGAGCUUCAAAUUCCAGUUAAAUGGAUUGGUGUUGGUAAAUCCAGAGAGUCUAUGAUUCAGCUCUUUUAAUGAUUGCCAGUAACACAAGAAACACUCCUUCAGAGGGAGGGGAAAAGACUUUCUUAAAUAUUUCAUUUAUCACCUGCAAAUUUAAGAAUAAAGACAUUGAAGUGAGUUGGUAAGCCCU